rnacentral:rRNA from 1 species
GACGAACGCUGGCGGCGUGCUUAACACAUGCAAGUCGAACGGUGAAGCGCCUUCCUUUUUGGUGGGUGUGGAUGAGUGGCGAACGGGUGAGUAACACGUGAGUAACCUGCCCCCUUCUUCUGGAUAACCGCAUGAAAGUGUUGCUAAUACGGGAUAUUCUGGGUCUGUCGCAUGAUGGGUCUGGGAAAGAUAUUGUUUCGGUGGGGGAUGGGCUCGCGGCCUAUCAGCUUGUUGGUGGGGUGAUGGCCUACCAAGGCGGUGACGGGUAGCCGGCCUGAGAGGGUGGACGGUCACACGGGGACUGAGACACGGCCCAGACUCCUACGGGAGGCAGCAGUGGGGAAUAUUGGACAAUGGGCGCAAGCCUGAUGCAGCGACGCCGCGUGAGGGAUGGAGGCCUGCGGGUUGUGAACCUCUUUCGCCAGUGAAGCAGGCCUGCCUCGUUUGUGGGUGGGUUGACGGUAGCUGGAUAAGAAGCGCCGGCUAACUACGUG